UAAAUCUUAUUAUAUAUAUAGAUAGACAUGUACAAGUUGUUUCAUACUUUCAUGUACCUAAGAAGAUGAAGGCCUUUACUUAUGUUCUGGUUAUUCUACUUGUUUUCUCCAUUGACAUUGGGAAUGAAAGGCUAAUGAAAGGAACAGAGUGUGUCUCAAAGAAUUGUACAGAGACACUGGCCAAUACUGGCAAUAUAAAUCUAUGUGGAUCAUCAAAUGGUCACCAGUGUGAAGAUUCUUGCAAAAAGUACUAUGGAUGGAAUGCAACUGGAUCUUGCAAUGAUAUCAACUGUGUUUGCCAAUACUCUUGUUUCAAUUUUUAGUCCUAUCUUUAUAACAUUUCCCCUUUCAAUAAAUGUGUGUUUCAACUUUCAAUAGUGGACAAUGAAUGAAAAGCAUAAAUGUUAUAUCAAAAUUAUGUUUCCAA